AGUAAAAAACUGUUAAAAUUACAACUAAUAUAAUGAUGAUAUUGUUUUUAUAGUUUGGGGCGGCACCUCACGAAAUAAAUAGUCCCAAAUGGACCCUAAGUAUUUGAAAACCUCAUACAUUUAACCUAGGGGUCACUUUUGCACAUAACAUAAUAACACAAACUAACAUAUUUCUUCAUUAGAAAAAAAAAAAAUCCAUAAUUCGGAAUACAAAAGAUACAACUCCCUAAACGAGAGGAAAAUAGGAAUAAUAAAAAACAUGAGAACACAAUAAAAAAUGAACAGAAGGCUUCUCGUCCCCCAUUUCCUCAUCGUUAUCAUUGUCAUUCUCGGUUCCACUCGACCCCGCCUCUGGUAAAGGGGACGCUCGUGUGUCCUUUCUCGAAGGCCCGGGCUUGCAAGUCAAAUUGCCGGCUCUUUGCUUCUCCUGGUGGCUUAGGUGGUACCCAAGAGAUCCACCUUCCGGGCAACGCGAUCCCGGGUAGCCUUUCUUACAUGUGAGCACGAUGGAAGCCUAGCAGAAAUGAAAGAGAUGUCACGCUAAAAACCACACCAACAAUCGUUUCAAAGCUUUCCACCCAAUGUUACGUACGUAUGACUCAAUUCUUAUGUAUUUGCAUAUUUACUCUUGAACCUCAUUUUUUACAUGCCUGCCAUCUUACAUAUGCAUGAAAAACAUGUAUUCACUUUUUUAGAAUUUAA